GGUUGUUUGGCCGAGCGGUCUAAGGCGCCUGAUUCAAGCUCUCAGGUAUCGUAAGAUGCAAGAGUUCGAAUCUCUUAGCAACCA
rnacentral:tRNA from 1 species